UACGUAGGGUGCGAGCGUUAAUCGGAAUUACUGGGCGUAAAGCGUGCGCGGCGGUCUGUUAAGACCGAUGUGAAAUCCCCGGGCUUAACCUGGGAACUGCAUUGGUGACUGGCAGGCUUUGAGUGUGGCAGAGGGAGGUAGAAUUCCACGUGUAGCAGUGAAAUGCGUAGAGAUGUGGAGGAAUACCGAUGGCGAAGGCAGCCUCCUGGGCCAACACUGACGCUCAUGCACGAAAGCGUGGGGAGCAAACAGG
rnacentral:rRNA from 1 species